GGCACUGUGGCUUAGAUGGCUAAAGUGGCCGUCUUGUAAACAGGAGAUCCUGGGUUCAGCAGUUCCAGCAGUGCUG
rnacentral:tRNA from 1 species